UUAAAAUUGAGAGUUUGAUCCUGGCUCAGGACGAACGCUGGCGGCGUGCUUAACACAUGCAAGUCGAGCGAUGAAGCUUCCUUCGGGAAGUGGAUUAGCGGCGGACGGGUGAGUAACACGUGGGUAACCUGCCUCAAAGUGGGGGAUAGCCUUCCGAAAGGAAGAUUAAUACCGCAUAACAUAAGAGAAUCGCAUGAUUUUCUUAUCAAAGAUUUAUUGCUUUGAGAUGGACCCGCGGCGCAUUAGCUAGUUGGUAAGGUAACGGCUUACCAAGGCAACGAUGCGUAGCCGACCUGAGAGGGUGAUCGGCCACAUUGGAACUGAGACACGGUCCAGACUCCUACGGGAGGCAGCAGUGGGGAAUAUUGCGCAAUGGGGGAAACCCUGACGCAGCAACGCCGCGUGGGUGAUGAA
rnacentral:rRNA from 1 species